UUUAUUCCACUGUAUACUCCUCGCGUUGUCCUAUGCACCGUGCAAUCAGCCACCAUAGUCAACUUACUUGUGGAUUCAGGCGGUGGUGACCAAUCUAGCCAACACGGAUGAGCAGAUCGACACGGCCAUGGCGAUUCCAUGCCGUGAUCCUGUGCUGUUCUUCCUCACCCUACCUUUAGCCGUGAGAUGCAGAGAGGAAGGCGGAAAGGAUUAUUGACAAGCAGGUGGUCAACCAUGUGCUUGCACGUAGCUUGUCCUUAAAUAUGUUCUGCAGGCAGAUGGUUCUAGGAAGGCACAAAUUUGCCAGAUUAAGAAGAUCAGCUGUUGAGGAUAAUAUCAUUGUGCUCUUUUGCAGAACAAGCUCUAUACAAGCACGAGUCCGCAAAGCUCUUGGCAAGGACUGAUCCAUCACAUCAAAACCAAAUGACCGGUGUCCCAUUUUUGCAUCCUGUUUGCUAUAAUACAAUUGCAACUUUUCUUGCAUUGGUGUUUGUUGAUGCUGAGCAUCAAUUAUGAUUUGUGUUAACCCAAUGAGGUUGAAAGAGAAGUUCCGAUUUAAAAAGUAGAAGACGUUCAUGCCCAUAAUGAAGGGGAGAGGCUAGGUUGGUUUUGACCACCAAACAUAGGACGGUGCCUUGAAUCAUGGGGUACUGAUGUUGUUGGCGUCAAAGCAUUCCCUCUGCACUCUGACAUGUUAUGAGAUUUGGAGCAAAAUUAAAGUUUCAAAUUUGAUUAAUAAACAGGAAUACUGGUGAAAUAUUUCUAAGCUCUUGAUGGAAGCUAAGCUCAGCUAGCGCAGACUCAGUGCGGUACAGAUGACUGCGGCUCGAACUAUGGUUCCACGCAUUAAGCCUUCCUACGCUAAAACAUUCAGGAUGGGGUGUGACUUAAAUUGGCACCGAGUCACUAAUGGAACUGAUGGGCUUUCCAGAUGUGAGCAGGCACACAGGUAAGGCAUACAGGUAAGCAGGCCCAAUUUUCUGUUUUUGCACACUUAGCUGCAAGCCAAGUAGGAGCCAAAGCAGCAGCUCAUUGCUCACUGUCCAGUACUCACUGUUCAAUUUCAGUAAUCGCUAAUUCUUUCUUACAAUUAUGACACAGUAAUAAUAUAGCAUGUUCAUUAUUGCCUCAUGGUAUUUCACAUGGUCAUUAAUUAUGUUUAUCGUCUCUGUGAAGUGUCACGUGGAUUUCAAAUUACUUGUUUAUGGAUACAACGUAUUUCUGCUGUUGAGGACAACAGAGUUAUACACAUAUAACUAUUCUUUCCUUGUGUUACUAGGUUGAGAGAUUUUUGUUGUUUAUAAAUCAUAUAUUUUUGUUGUUUGAUUUGCA